GACGAACGCUGGCGGCGUGCUUAACACAUGCAAGUCGAACGGAAAGGCCCUGCUGUUGUGGGGUGCUCGAGUGGCGAACGUGUGAGUAACACGUGAGUAACCUGCCCUGGACUUUGGGAUAACUUCAGGAAACUGGGGCUAAUACCGGAUAGGAGCUCCUGCUGCAUGGUGGGGGUUGGAAAGGUUCGGCGGUUGGGGAUGGACUCGCGGCUUAUCAGCUUGUUGGUGGGGUAGUGGCUUACCAAGGCUUUGACGGGUAGCCGGCCUGAGAGGGUGACCGGCCACGUUGGGACUGAGCUACGGCCCAGACUACUCCGGGAGGCAGCAGUGGGGAAUAUUGCACAAUGGGCGGAAGCCUGAUGCAGCAACGCCGCGUGCGGGAUGACGGCCUUCGGGUUGUAAACCGAUUUCGCCUGUGACGAAGCGUGAGUGACGGUAAUGGGUAAAGAAGCACCGGCUAACUACGUG
rnacentral:rRNA from 1 species